rnacentral:lncRNA from 1 species
GAGGACUACACCUUCAGGAGGUGGUGUUUGCGAACAAUCCAGAGGCCCAAUUCAUUUUUGAAAAAUUUGUUUGAGACUUGUUAUGUAAACUGCAGAAGCUUGUUUGUAAAAUAGUUACCCUAAUGUAGUUCGUUGUAAAUCCUAAAGAGGCUCAUUUUGUGGGCAAGUAAGACAAAAAAAUCCACGAGAGGUUCACUUCUUUUCCAGAUGUGGUUUGCUUCAUAUAUGUGGCGACUGAAAACACAAAUAGGUAAAGUGAAGUGUAGAAAAGAAUAUAGUUAACUUUCUCGUGACUCGUUAACAACACUUGCGCGUUUGGUCCUCGGCUGUGGUUCAUUUUUGAGAGUGAUGUUGUUCACUUGCGCCCAACAUGUAAGUGCGAAAAAUUUAACGCAACAACAAAGCUAGUAAUGAUGUUCACUUCAAUAUAUGUCGCGGUUCACUUGCCUCCUCUCCGCGGUCCACUCUCGUUCGCAAAAAAACUGAAAAAAAGACAACAAAAACUUGUCUGAGAAAAAUUUACGUUUGAGAAAAGAAAUCAUGAAGUUCGCUUGAUCGUUUGAUGCAAUGCGGUUUGACAACAGUUACACAAAAUGCAUGAAGUUCCCUUUUGACGACAUUGCAGUGCGUUUUGACCUUGUCUGCGAUUCACUCUCAAUAAUAAGAACGGUGCACUCUUGUUAUAUAAAAAAGUUAGAAAAAUGACAAAUGAAUCCUACAGUCCGUUUGCCUCUCUGAUGCAGUGCGGUAUUCAGACUGAAGCAGUGCAGUUUUAUGUCCGAUGCAGUGCGCCUCGUCGAUUUUGGUGUCGUGAAAAACAGAGUGCCCGCAUUUCGGUAAUUUGGAAACUGCUCUUAAACCAUAAUGAAUUAGAGAGAGUGUUCUACAUACAAAAGUUGCGCCUCGUCGAUAUCUUUCCAACGGCGUAUCAUUUCCAUCAUUCCGAUGAAAGGUUUGAACAAAUUUACGAAAAUACGUUAGCUGUCACUCACCGGCAGCCGCACCGUUUUCGAAAUUAAUUUAAAACCGUAAGGAAUCUGAAAACAAGUUCUACAUAUGAAAGUUGCGCCUUGUCCAUAGCUUUCCAACGACGUAUUACACGCCUCGUUUCGACAAGCGGUUCAAAAACUAGAGCGAAACAGUACAAAAAUUGAAAAAAAUUCAAAAAAACGUAAUUCCGCGAUUCAAAAUAACACUUCCGUACUGCACGCUCAACGCGAGGGCACUGCACUUUCAGUAGCAGGGGUACUGCAAUACACACACUAGUGAACUUCGUGUCGGAAAAAACUGCACACGCUGUUUUUUGGUACCUUUUUCGCUCUAGUUUUUUAACCGAUUAUCGGAACGAGACGUGUAAUAUACCGUUAAGAAGCUAUGGAUUAGGCGCAACUUCUCCAUGUUGAACACUUUUCGAGAUUCUUCACGGUUUAAGAGCAGUUUUGAAAAUGGUGCGACCCAUGACGAGUGGCAGCGAGCGUUUUUUCGCGAUUUCUUCUGAACCGCUUGUCGGAAUGAAGCAAAUGAUACACCGUUGGAAAGAUAUCGUCGAGGCGCAUCUUUUUCAUAUCUAUUAUUUUCUCUAAUCGUUACGGUUUAAGAGCAGUUUCAAAUUUACUAAAUCACGAAAUUCUGUUUUUCAAUUUUUAAAAAAAAUUCGGUACUGUUUUCGCUCCAGUUUUCUAACCGUUUGUCAAAAUGAGGUGAUGAUACGCCGAUGGAAAGCUACGGACAAGGCGCAACUUUCAUAUGUUGAAAUGUUUUUGAGAUUCCUUACGGUUUUUAGUUAAUUUUGAAAAUCGUGCGGCUGACGGCGAGAGCCAGCGGCCGUUUUUUCGCGAUUUCUUCUAAACCGCUUGUCGGAAUGAAGCAAAUGAUACACCUUUGGAAAGAUAUCAUCGAGGCGCAAGUUUUUCAUGUAGACCACCCUCUCUGAUUCUUUACGGUUUGGGAGCAGUUUCGAUUUUACCGAAAUGUGGACACUGUUUUUUUGCGACACCAAAAUCGUCGUAUAUACUGCAUCAGACAGAAAACCGCACUUCUUUUAGACUAAAAACUGCACUUCAUCGGACGAACAAGUGCACUGCAUGAUUUCUUUUUUUGUGGGACGUAAUUUUUCCUAAACGAGGUGGAGUGCACUUCAUGUCGAGUGUUGGUGAACCGCAAUACUAUGAAAAGUGAACCUCGAGACUACUGUAAACGGGCCGUACUGCAUCAGACAGAAAACCGCACUUAUUUAGACUAAAAACCGCACUUCAUUGGACAGACAAGUGCACUGCAUGAUUUCUUUUUUGUGGGACGUAAAUUUUCCAAAACAAGGUGGAGUGCACUGCUUCAGACUAAAAACCACACUUCAUCGGACAAACAAGUGCACCGCAUGAUUUCUUUUUUGUGGGACAUAAAUUUUUCCAGACGAGGUGGAGUUCACUUCACGUCGAGUGUUAGUGAACUGCAAUACUAUGAAAAGCGAACCUCGAGACUACCGUAAACGGUCCAUGACACUACCAAAAAUGAACCGCUUGAGCUUUUUCCAAACUCAAUAUUCUUUACAUGCAUAGACCGGGCAAAUGGACGACAGGGACCGAGCAAGUGAACCACAUGUAAUGAGAAGUGAGCUGCUUUCCCAGGUGUUUUUGUUUCGGAUCACCAAGUGAACCACGAAGGAGUUUUAUGGCGAACUUUGUGAGAGAACAAAGUGAGCUUCAAAACAUACAUAUACAUUCAUUAUUUUUACACAGCUACACAGUCAUCCAGUACAUAGCAGAAUCAACGAUGGAGUACCCAACUGUACUACACUAGGCAAAGACUUGCUUAUGCAAAAUUACCAUCCAUUUUUCUUACUACAAAAUGGAACUUCAAAUGCACUAGGCAGUGCCCUUUUUCUCUCUGCGUUUCUCAUAAACAACAAAAUGAACUUCAAAUGAACAUCGAUGUUCUCUUCUUUUUUCUUAUUGGGCGCACUUCUUCUUGAGUAAACUGCACAUUGACGCAAACAAAAACCAACGAAGCACAAAGCGGACCUCUUCUUUGAGUAAACUGCACGGCCAGGGGGGACUGCAAAAAAAACAACGAACUAUGGCGGCGAGCACCGAAAUGAACUCGUCGGUGCCACCAGACUGCACGUCUGACCACGAGCCUCCUGCCACCGGAAUGCAAGCACGCUCGCCGGUGGACUGGACAUCCAGCCGCACCGCACUGAUGCCCAAAGCGAACUGAAGUGUUGUGCCGAAGUGAAAUCUGAAAAAGCAAAGAAAAAUGAAGGGGAGGAAAGGACGCCGGAGGCCGGUGCUUGCGGUGCCAAAUUGCAUCGCGUUCCCCGGCGCACUGCAAGCCCGAGGCGCCUGGACUGCAAGGGGAGGCCGGCAGCUUGUCUGGAGGACAUGGCGGAUCUCGCUGAUGAUGCAGCAGAGACCCACCGUACUGCAUCAACCGUCGGGGACUGCUUUUGGACUACAACAGGGGACAGCCUGCAGUGGAGCUAGGCAUGGACCGGGGUAAGGAGAGGUGAGGCCUAGCGGCUGGCAGGGUCCUGGAUGAUGGGAGGGACCGCAUUGCAGUACCGGGGUGACCUAACCACGUCGGGAAGUACGGGCGAACUGCACCCGCGCGGUCGGCCGCGAGCUCGACGGAGGAAAAGCUUGGUGGGGGGAGGACAGUCUGACGGGGACCAUCACCUGGUUGGGGACGAGACCAGAGUCUCCUAGACGAGUAGCAGCACGAGUGCCACUAAACUACAGAGGAGGUGGGCAGUGCACGGCGGCACGGGUCGGAUCCACCGGCAUGGAAUGACCGCGAGGAAGGGGCAGGGGUGGUGAGCGGUGGUUGGCGGCCGGAUCCGUUGGUUUCUGGCCGCACCGAUGGCCGUGGCGAUCUGGUGGAGGAGGCCUCGCCAGGAGCCAGUGGCGGCCGGAUCCCUCCAUGGCCGCGUGGCGCGCCGGCGGUUGGAGGGGGUUGAGGGCGCGCCGGCCCCAAUCGCCGGUGGUGGAGGAGGGUCUCCGGCUGGGAUCGAGGAAGGAGGCGGGGUGGGGUGGGNNNNNNNNNNNNNNNNNNNNNNNNNNNNNNNNNNNNNNNNNNNNNNNNNNNNNNNNNNNNNNNNNNNNNNNNNNNNNNNNNNNNNNNNNNNNNNNNNNNNNNNNNNNNNNNNNNNNNNNNNNNNNNNNNNNNNNNNNNNNNNNNNNNNNNNNNNNNNNNNNNNNNNNNNNNNNNNNNNNNNNNNNNNNNNNNNNNNNNNNNNNNNNNNNNNNNNNNNNNNNNNNNNNNNNNNNNNNNNNNNNNNNNNNNNNNNNNNNNNNNNNNNNNNNNNNNNNNNNNNNNNNNNNNNNNNNNNNNNNNNNNNNNNNNNNNNNGGGGGUGGAAGAAGAUGAGGCCGCGGGGCGGGGGCAGCAAGAUUUGGUGGCGGAGGUGGUUUUUCCUUUCUGUGCAGUUCGGCUGUUAAGUCUGUAGUGCGGGUCGGGGAGGUAGGGGUAGUUCGUCAGGGUGUUAGCAGAAUAGUGUUAGCAGAAUAAGAGUCUUAAGGGUGUUAUCAUAAUAGACCCACCCUAUAUAUAUAUGUGUAUAUAUAUAUAUAUAUUCUUUGUGUGACCAUCAGUACUCUCAGGUGCAAUAUUCCCGCAUUCGUAACUUAUCCUUGUUCAUGUGUCGGGUCAUCGAAUAUAUACUAGGUUCACGUGCCUUGUAUGGAGUCCAUGAAGGAAAUAUGCCCUAGAGGCAAUAAUAAAGUUAUUAUUUAUUUCCUUAUAUCAUGAUAAAUGUUUAUUAUUCAUGCUAGAAUUGUAUUAACCGGAAACAUAAUACAUGUGUGAAUACAUAGACAAACAGAGUGUCACUAGUAUGCCUCUACUUGACUAGCUCGUUGAUCAAAGAUGGUUAUGUUUCCUAGCCAUAGACAUGAGUUGCCAUUUGAUUAAUGGGAUCACAUCAUUAGGAGAAUGAUGUGAUUGACUUGACCCAUUCCGUUAGCUUAGCACUCGAUCGUUUAGUAUGUUGCUAUUGCUUUCUUCAUGACUUAUACAUGUUCCUAUGACUAUGAGAUUAUGCAACUCCCGUUUACCAGAGGAACACUUUGUGUGCUACCAAACGUCACAACGUAACUGGGUGAUUAUAAAGGUGCUCUACAGGUGUCUCCAAAGGUACUUGUUGGGUUGGCGUAUUUCGAGAUUAGGAUUUGUCACUCCGAUUGUCGGAGAGGUAUCUCUGGGCCCACUCAGUAAUACACAUCACUAUAAGCCUUGGAAGCAUUGUGACUAAUGAGUUAGUUGCGGGAUGAUGUAUUACGGAACGAGUAAAGAGACUUGCCGGUAACGAGAUUGAACUAGGUAUCGAGAUACCGACGAUCGAAUCUCGGGCAAGUAACAUACCGAUGAUAAAGGGAACAACGUAUGUUGUUAUGCGGUCUGACCGAUAAAGAUCUUCGUAGAAUAUGUGGGAACCAAUAUGAGCAUCCAGGUUCCGCUAUUGGUUAUUGACCGGAGAGGUGUCUCGGUCAUGUCUACAUAGUUCUCGAACCCGUAGGGUCCGCACGCUUAACGUUACGAUGACAGUUAUAUUAUGAGUUUAUAUGUUUUGAUGUACCGAAGGUUGUUCGGAGUCCCGGAUGUGAUCACGGACAUGACGAUGAGUCUCGAAAUGGUCGAGACAUAAAGAUUGAUAUAUUGGAAGCCUAUGUUUGGACAUCGGAAGUGUUCCGGGUGAAAUCGGGAUUUUUCCGGAGUACCGGGAGGUUACCGGAACCCCCCGGUAACUUAAUGGGCCUUAGUGGGCCUAGGUGGAAGAGAGGAGAGGAGGCCAGGGCAGGGCCGCACGCCCCUUCCCCCCAAUCCGAAUAGGACAAGGAGAGGGCGGCGGCGCCCCCCUUUCCUUCCUCCCCUCCACCUCUUCCCCCUCUCUUUCCUAGUCCAACAUGGAAAAGGGGGGGGAGUCCUACUCCCGGUAGGAGUAGGACUCCUCCUGGCGCGCCUCUCCCCUUGGCCGGCCGAACCCCCCUUGCUCCUUUAUAUACGGGGGCAGGGGGGCACCUCUAGACACACAAUUGAUCAUUUGUAACAUCCCAAAUUUUCAAUUUGGUAUGUUAUACAUAGAUCAUCAUUGCAUAUCAUGUUUCAUUGCAUUUUGACAAACCCUCGAUAAAUCCUAAGCAACUCAAGGACCCUCGGAGAGAUUUGGGGAUUCUCUCGAAUUUUCAUAUUUGAUUUUCAUCAAAUAAUAAGACGAGAUUUUGGUUUUAAUUAUUUUCUCUCCGGAAAAAUAUUUCAUUCUAAAAAUAAAUGAGAGGAGAAAAUAUGACUUCUCCAAAACAAUUGAAAUACUGGAGGAAAAAUCUUAAAAUCAUUUAUUGGAAUUUAUUCGGAUUCUAUUUGCAAUUUUUAUUGCAUUAAAAAUAUUGCAUGUUUUCAAAAUAUUUAUUUUGAUUUAAAAAAAUGUUCACCCUAUUCUAGAUUUUCUAACUAGACAGGGAAAAUUUAUUUUAUAGUUUUCUGAUUUUUAUUUAUUUUUCUAUGAAUUAUUUUCCGUGGAACUUAUUUAAAAAAAAACGCGCGACGCCCGACCGGGCCGCAGCCCAGCCGAGCGCCGGCCCGCCCGCGCCCCUCUCCUUCUCCCGCACAGCGCCCGCCGCCGCCGGAGUCCGCCAUGGACACGGGACCGAGCCGCCCCGGAGCUUGCCCCCUCCUCCAAGCUUGCACCCCCCUCUUNNNNNNNNNNNNNNNNNNNNNNNNNNNNNNNNNNNNNNNNNNNNNNNNNNNNNNNNNNNNNNNNNNNNNNNNNNNNNNNNNNNNNNNNNNNNNNNNNNNNNNNNNNNNNNNNNNNNNNNNNNNNNNNNNNNNNNNNNNNNNNNNNNNNNNNNNNNNNNNNNNNNNNNNNNNNNNNNNNNNNNNNNNNNNNNNNNNNNNNNNNNNNNNNNNNNNNNNNNNNNNNNNNNNNNNNNNNNNNNNNNNNNNNNNNNNNNNNNNNNNNNNNNNNNNNNNNNNNNNNNNNNNNNNNNNNNNNNNNNNNNNNNNNNNNNNNNNNNNNNNNNNNNNNNNNNNNNNNNNNNNNNNNNNNNNNNNNNNNNNNNNNNNNNNNNNNNNNNNNNNNNNNNNNNNNNNNNNNNNNNNNNNNNNNNNNNNNNNNNNNNNNNGUUCGUCGUUGCCAGUUUUUGUUAAAAAAAACCCUUUGUUUAAAAAAACCCUAGAUCGGUUUUUUUUUGGUUUUAUUAUUUUGCGAGCGUUCACCGAACCGUUCGUUUUAACGAACGCGUUCGUCGGUUUUUCUCUGUUAACGAACGUCCGUUCUUUAACCGUUCGUCCGUUUUUCUUUUUCGUCGGAUUUUUCCGUUAUUUAUCUCAGAUUCGAUUUCUGAUCGAAUUUUUGUUUCUGUUUAACUUCUCGCUCGUUUAUUGGAAUCAGGCGAUUCAAGCGCCUAGAGUUUCGUCUCGAAAUUCUCUUUCCGUUUAAUCUACUCAAACAAGUUUUUGCUACAGUAAAAUUUGACCUAGAUCCAGAUUAGUAAACGAAGCUAUUUUCUUUCGCCUUUUGACUUUCGUUGUUUUUUUCGAGUGGAUUCUUUUUGCAAACCGGAGUUCUUAAGUUGAACUUUCUGGUUGGAUCUUUCAUUCGAGUUUUACCUGUGCAUUAGAUGAGUACUGAUUGCAUGCUUGUUUGUUUGCGAUAGAGUACCCGGAGUGUGCCGCUUGUUACUUCGACUCGUUAGGUUUUGCGGAUCAUCAGCAAGGCAAGUAACACUUUGAUCAUAUACCUUUCAUACACAGUUUUAUUGCAUUAGAUCUAUUCCUCAAACAAUUGCAUGUUUAGGAUCUAAUUAAAUUGUGGGUACUGGGAAGUAGUUGAGGUAGUACCUAUUACAUGUUUUCUAUUCAAACCCUUGGGAGUUACUUCUACGUUGCUUUUAUAUUGCCAUGCUAUGCUCGUAGACAUGGAUUGGGUUUGAGAGAUAUUCAUGACAGAUGUGAGAUGUUUAUUAAUGGUUCAACUUAAGGUGGCAACUAAAACUCACAUCUGGGUGGAUUGAGGCACCUGGAGAACCCAGUGUUGCCUUUUUGUAUAAGGUCCGCCACCCAGGCUCAAAGGGAUCAUAAGAUUAUUCAUGCUAGAAACUUCCGUGUGCAGCCACAAGCUAUUAUGGCCUCUAGCAUAGUUGAGUAGGUUACAAGAUCUCUUGAAGAGGUGGGCUAGCAGAUGUAGGGGAAAAUAGGUGUACCGGUCCAUCCAGAGUAAAGAGUGAUUGUUUCUGAAAGACUGUGUCUCGGUCAUCCGUUUCUCAAACAUCCUGUAGUGCGAGAAUUAAGCGGAGGCGAUCGAGUCUUGUGGGGAAAAGUGCGCAAACCUCUGCAGAGUGUACAAACUAAUCAUGGUUAGCCGUGUCCCCGGUUAUGGACAACUUGAGUAUCUAGUACCUGGAUUAUCAUUUGAAUCUCAUCACCAUGUUACUUUUAAUUAAUUUUGUUGGGUUAAUGAUGACACUUAAUUGGGAUUGAGUUGGAGGUACCUUCUCAAUGUUUCACAACCACCAUGAUAGUUAAAUAAAAUUUAUUCCUUUGAUGUAGGAUAAAAUUGGCUUUUCGCAAAACUGUAACCAUAGAGCUUUCCACCAGCCAUAUAUGCAUGUAGUAUAGCAUUGUUAUUGUUCAUUAUUCUCUAUGUGUUACUUUGCCAGCAUAUCCUAUGUGCUGACCCGUUUUCGGGCUGCAACGUUUCAUGUUGCAGACUUUUCAGACGACGAGUAAGGUGCCUUAGGUCGUGGUCUUAUACUCAGUGAUGUCGCUGGAGUUGAUGGACUCACUUAUCUUCCAAGUCUUCCGCUGUUAUCGUUGUUAGAUGGCCUUAAGCCAUGUUUAUCAUACUUAAUCUCUUCGGAGAUAUUCGAUGUAAUAAGUGUGUGAUUGCUACUCUGUUAUAAAUCCUCCAUUUGUACUGUGCGUGUCAGCAUUACUGAUCCAGGGAUGACACUGGUGCACAGCAGCACAGACCAUUUGAGGUCUGGUCGCUACAAAGUUGAUCUCUUAGCCGUGUGCAGUGCCCCCUCCACCAUAUUACACCUCGAUAAUAUCGUAGCGGUGCUUAGGCGAAGCCCUGUGUCGGUAGAACAUCAACAUUGUCACCACGCCGUCGUGCUGACGAAACUCUCCCUCAACACUCGGCUGGAUCGAAGUUCGAGGGACGUCAUCGAGCUGAACGUGUGCUGAACUCAGAGGUGCCGUGCGUUUGGUACUUGAUCAGUUGGAUCGUGAAGACGUACGACUACAUCAACCGCGUUGUGUUAACGCUUCCGCUUUCGGUCUACGAGGGUACGUGGACAACACUCUCCCCUCUCGUUGCUAUGCAUCACCAUGAUCUUGCGUGUGCGUAGAAUUUUUUUGAAAUUACUACGUUCCCCGAUAGUGGUAUCAGAGCCUGGUUUUAUGCGUUGAUGUUAUAUGCACGAGUAGAACACAAGUGAGUUGUGGGCGAUAUAAGUCAUACUGCUUACCAACAUGUCAUAUUUUGGUUCGGCGGUAUUGUGAGAUGAAGCGGCCCGGACCGACAUUACGCGUACGCUUACGCGAGACUGGUUUCACCGUUGCGAGCACUCGUUGCUUAAAGGUGACUGGCGGGUGUCUGUCUCUCCCACUUUAGUUGAACCGAGUGUGGCUACGCCCGGUCCUUGCGAAGGUUAAAACAGCACCAACUUGACAAACUAUCGUUGUGGUUUUGAUGCGUAGGUAAGAACGGUUCUUGCUAAGCCCGUAGCAGCCACGUAAAACUUGCAACAACAAAGUAGAGGACGUCUAACUUGUUUUUGCAGGGCAUGUUGUGAUGUGAUAUGGUCAAGACAUGAUGUGAUAUAAUUUGUUGUAUGAGAUGAUCAUGUUUUGUAACCGAGUUAUCGGCAACUGGCAGGAGCCAUAUGGUUGUCGCUUUAUUGUAUGAGAUGCAAUCACCAUGUAAUAGUUUUACUUUAUCACUAAGCAGUAGCGAUAGUCGUAAAAGCAAUUAGUUGGCGAGACGACAAAUGAUACUACAAUGGAGAUCAAGGUGUCGCGCCGGUGACGAUGGUGAUCAUGACGGUGCUUCGGAGAUGGAGAUCACAAGCACAAGAUGAUGAUGGCCAUAUCAUAUCACUUAUAUUGAUUGCAUGUGAUGUUUAUCUUUUAUGCAUCUUAUCUUGCUUUGAUUGACGGUAGCAUUAUAAGAUGAUCUCUCACUAAAAUUUCAAGAUAAAAGUGUUCUCCCUGAGUAUGCACCGUUGCCAAAGUUCGUCGUGCCCAGACACCACGUGAUGAUCGGGUGUGAUAAGCUCUACGUCCAUCUACAACGGGUGCAAGCCAGUUUUGCACACGCAGAAUACUCAGGUUAAACUUGACGAGCCUAGCAUAUGCAGAUAUGGCCUCGGAACACUGAGACCGAAAGGUCGAGCGUGAAUCAUAUAGUAGAUAUGAUCAACAUAGUGAUGUUCACCAUUUAAAACUACUCCAUUUCACGUGAUGAUCGGUUAUGGUUUAGUUGAUUUGGAUCACGUAAUCACUUAGAUGAUUAGAGGGAUGUCUAUCUAAGUGGGAGUUCUUAAGUAAUAUGAUUAAAAGAACUUAAAUUUAUCAUGAAGUUAGUACCUGAUAGUAUCUUGCUUGUCUAUGUUAAUUGUAGAUAGAUGGCCCGUGCUGUUGUUCCGUUGAAUUUUAAUGCGUUCCUUGAGAAAGCAAAGUUGAAAGAUGAUGGUAGCAAUUACACGGACUGGGUCCGUAACUUGAGGAUUAUCCUCAUUGCUGCACAGAAGAAUUACAUCCUGGAAGCACCGGUGGGUGCCAGGCCUGCUGCAAGAGCAACACCAGAAGUUAUGAACGUCUGGCAGAGCAAAGCUGAUGACUACUCAAUAGUUCAGUGUGCCAUGCUUUACGGCUUAGAACCGGGUCUUCAACGACGUUUUGAACGUCAUGGAGCAUAUGAGAUGUUCCAGGAGUUGAAGUUAAUAUUUCAAGCAAAUGCCCGGAUUGAGAGAUAUGAAGUCUCCAAUAAGUUCUACAGCUGCAAGAUGGAAGAGAAUAGUUCUGUCAGUGAGCAUAUACUCAAAAUGUCUGGGUAUAAUAAUCACUUGAUUCAACUGGGAGUUAAUCUUCCGGAUGAUAGCGUCAUUGACAGAAUUCUUCAAUCACUGCCACCAAGCUACAAGAGCUUCGUGAUGAACUAUAACAUGCAAGGGAUGAAUAAGACAAUUCCCGAGCUCUUCGCAAUGCUAAAGGCAGCGGAGGUAGAAAUCAAAAAGGAGCAUCAAAUGUUGAUGGUCAAUAAGACCACUAGUUUCAAGAAAAAGGGCAAAGGGAAGAAGAAGGGGAACUUCAAGAAGAACAGCAAGCAAGUUGCUGUUCAGGAGAAGAAACCCAAAUCUGGACCUAAGCCUGAGACUGAGUGCUUCUACUGCAAGCAGACUGGUCACUGGAAGCGGAACUGCCCCAAGUAUUUGGCGGAUAAGAAGGAUGGCAAGGUGAACAAAGGUAUAUGUGAUAUACUUGUUAUUGAUGUGUACCUUACCAGAGCUCGCACUAGCACCUGGUAUUUGAUACUGGUUCUGUUGCUAAUAUUUGCAACUCAAAACAGGGACUACGGAUUAAGCGAACACUGGCCAAGGACGAGGUGACGAUGCGCGUGGGAAACAGUUCCAAAGUUGAUGUGAUCGCCGUCGGCACGCUACCUCUACAUCUACCUUCGGGAUUAGUAUUAGACCUAAAUAAUUGUUAUUUGGUGCCAGCGUUGAGCAUGAACAUUAUAUCUGGAUCUUGUUUGAUGCGAGACGGUUAUUCAUUUAAAUCAGAGAAUAAUGGUUGUUCUAUUUAUAUGAGUAAUAUCUUUUAUGGUCAUGCACCCUUGAAGAGUUGUCUAUUUUUAAUGAAUCUCUGUAGUAGUGACACACAUAUUCAUAAUGUCGAAGCCAAAAGAUGCAGAGUUGAUAAUGAUAGUGCAACUUAUUUGUGGCACUGCCGUUUAGGUCAUAUCGGUGUAAAGCGCAUGAAGAAACUCCAUAAUGAUGGACUUUUGGAAUCACUUGAUUAUGAAUCACUUGGUACUUGCGACCAUGGGCAAGAUGACUAAAACACCGUUCUCCGGAACUAUGGAGAGAGCAACUGAUUUAUUGGAAAUCAUACAUACAGAUGUAUGUGGUCCGAUGAAUAUUGAGGCUCGUAGCGGAUAUCGUUAUUUUCUCACCUUCACAGAUGAUUUGAGCAGAUAUGGGUAUAUCUACUUAAUGAAACAUAAGUCUGAAACAUUUGAAAAGUUCAAAGAAUUUCAGAGCGAAGUUGAAAAUCAUCGUAACAAGAAAAUAAAGUUUCUACGAUCAGAUCGUGGAGGAGAAUAUUUGAGUUACGAGUUUGGCCUACAUUUGAAACAAUGCGGAAUAGUUUCGCAACUCACGCCACCCGGAACACCACAACAUAAUGGUGUGUCCGAACGUCGUAAUCGUACUUUACUAGAUAUGGUGCGAUCUAUGAUGUCUCUUACUGAUUUACCGCUAUUGUUUUGGGGUUAUGCUUUAGAGACGACUGUAUUCACUCUAAAUAGGGCACCAUCGAAAUCCGUUGAUACGACGCCUUAUGAACUAUGGUUUGGCAAGAAACAAAAGUUGUCGUUUCUUAAAGUUUGGGGCUGCGAUGCUUAUGUGAAGAAACUUCAACCUGAUAAGCUCGAACCUAAAUCGGAGAAAUGUGUAUUCAUAGGAUACCCAAAGGAGACUGUUGGGUACACCUUCUAUCACAGAUCCGAAGGCAAGACAUUCGUUGCUAAGAAUGGAUCCUUUCUAGAGAAGGAGUUUCUCUCGAAAGAAGUGAGUGGAAGGAAAGUAGAACUUGAUGAGGUAACUGUACCUGCUCCCUUAUUGGAAAGUAGAUCAUCACAGAAACCAGUUUCUGCGACACCUACACCAAUUAGUGAGGAAGUUAAUGAUAAUGAUCAUGAAACUUCAGAUCAAGUUAUUACUGAACCUCGUAGGUCAACCAGAUUAAGAUCCGCACCAGAGUGGUACGCUAAUCCUAUUCUGGAGGUUAUGUUACUAGACCAUGACGAACCUACGAACUAUGAAGAAGCGAUGGUGAGCCCAGAUUCCGCAAAAUGGCUUGAGGCCAUGAAAUCCGAGAUGGGAUCCAUGUAUGAAAACAAAGUAUGGACUUUGGUUGACUUGCCCUAUGAUCUCCAAGCUAUUGAAAAUAAAUGGAUCUUCAAGAAGAAGACUGACACUGACGGUAAUGUUACUGUCUAUAAAGCUCGACUUGUUGCGAAAGGUUUUCGACAAGUUCAAGGGAUUGACUACGAUGAGACCUUCUCACCCGUAGCGAUGCUCAAGUCUGUCAGAAUCAUGUUAGCAAUUGCCGCAUUUUAUGAUAAUGAAAUUUGGCAAAUGGAUGUCAAAACUGCAUUCCUGAAUGGAUUUCUGGAAGAAGAGUUGUAUAUGAUGCAACCGGAAGGUUUUGUCGAUCCAAAGGGAGCUAACAAAGUGUGCAAGCUCCAGCGAUCCAUUUAUGGACUGGUGCAAGCCUCUCGGAGUUGGAAUAAAUGCGUUGAUAGUGUGAUCAAAGCAUUUGGUUUUAUACAGACUUUUGGAGAAGCCUGUAUUUACUAGAAAGUGAGUGGGAGCUCAGUAGCAUUUCUGAUAUUAUAUGUGGAUGACAUAUUGCUAAUUGGAAAUGAUAUAGAAUUUCUGGAUAGCAUAAAGGGAUACUUGAAUAAGAGUUUUUCAAUGAAAGACCUCGGUGAAGCUGCAUAUAUAUUAGGCAUCAAGAUCUAUAGAGAUAGAUCAAGAUGCUUAAUUGGACUUUCACAAAGCACAUACCUUGACAAAGUUUUGAAGAAGUUCAAAAUGGAUCAAGCAAAGGAAGGGUUCUUGCCUGUACUACAAGGUGUGAGAUUGAGUAAGACUCAAUGCCCGACCACUUCAGAAGAUAGAGAGAAGAUGAAAGAUGUUCCCUAUGCUUCAGCCAUAGGCUCUAUCAUGUAUGCAAUGCUGUGUACCAGACCUGAUGUGUGCCUUGCUAUAAGUUUAGCAGGGAGGUACCAAAGUAAUCCAGGAGUGGAUCACUGGACAGCGGUCAAGAACAUCCUGAAAUACCUGAAAAGGACUAAGGAUAUGUUUCUCGUUUAUGGAGGUGACACAGAGCUCAUCGUAAAUGGUUACGUUGAUGCAAGCUUUGACACUGAUCCGGACGAUUCUAAAUCGCAAACCGGAUACGUGUUUACAUUGAAUGGUGGAGCUGUCAGUUGGUGCAGUUCUAAGCAAAGUGUCGUGGCGGGAUCUACGUGUGAAGCGGAGUACAUAGCUGCUUCGGAAGCAGCAAAUGAAGGAGUCUGGAUGAAGGAGUUCAUAUCCGAUCUAGGUGUCAUACCUAGUGCAUCGGGACCUAUGAAAAUCUUUUGUGACAAUACUGGUGCAAUUGCCUUAGCAAAGGAAUCCAGAUUUCACAAGAGAACCAAGCACAUCAAAAGACGCUUCAAUUCCAUCCGGGAUUUAGUCCUGGUGGGAGACAUAGAAAUUUGCAAGAUACAUACGGAUCUGAAAGUUGCAGACCCUUUGACUAAGCCUCUUCCACGAGCAAAACAUGAUCAGCACCAAGACUCCAUGGGUGUAAGAAUCAUUACUGUGUAAUCUAGAUUAUUGACUCUAGUGCAAGUGGGAGACCGAAGGAAAUAUGCCCUAGAGGCAAUAAUAAAGUUAUUAUUUAUUUCCUUAUAUCAUGAUAAAUGUUUAUUAUUCAUGCUAGAAUUGUAUUAACCGGAAACAUAAUACAUGUGUGAAUACAUAGACAAACAGAGUGUCACUAGUAUGCCUCUACUUGACUAGCUCGUUGAUCAAAGAUGGUUAUGUUUCCUAGCCAUAGACAUGAGUUGUCAUUUGAUUAACGGGAUCACAUCAUUAGGAGAAUGAUGUGAUUGACUUGACCCAUUCCGUUAGCUUAGCACUCGAUCGUUUAGUAUGUUGCUAUUGCUUUCUUCAUGACUUAUACAUGUUCCUAUGACUAUGAGAUUAUGCAACUCCCAUUUACCAGAGGAACACUUUGUGUGCUACCAAACGUCACAACGUAACUGGGUGAUUAUAAAGGUGCUCUACAGGUGUCUCCAAAGGUACUUGUUGGGUUGGCGUAUUUCGAGAUUAGGAUUUGUCACUCCGAUUGUCGGAGAGGAAUCUCUGGGCCCACUCAGUAAUACACAUCACUAUAAGCCUUGCAAGCAUUGUGACUAAUGAGUUAGUUGCGGGAUGAUGUAUUACGGAACGAGUAAAGAGACUUGCCGGUAACGAGAUUGAACUAGGUAUCGAGAUACCGACGAUCGAAUCUCGGGAAAGUAACAUACCGAUGACAAAGGGAACAACGUAUGUUGUUAUGCGGUCUGACCGAUAAAGAUCUUCGUAGAAUAUGUGGGAACCAAUAUGAGCAUCCAGGUUCCGCUAUUGGUUAUUGACCGGAGAGGUGUCUCAGUCAUGUCUACAUAGUUCUCGAACCCGUAGGGUCCGCACGCUUAACGUUACGAUGACAGUUAUAUUAUGAGUUUAUAUGUUUUGAUGUACCAAAGAUUGUUCGGAGUCCCGGAUGUGAUCACGGACAUGACGAGGAGUCUCGAAAUGGUCGAGACAUAAAGAUUGAUAUAUUGGAAGCCUAUGUUUGGACAUCGGAAGUGUUCCAGGUGAAAUCGGGAUUUUUCCGGAGUACCGGGAGGUUACCGGAACCCCCCGGUAACUUAAUGGGCCUUAGUGGGCCUAGGUGGAAGAGAGGAGAGGAGGCCAGGGCAGGGCCGCACGCCCCUUCCCCCCCAGUCCGAAUAGGACAAGGAGAGGGGGGCGGCCCCCCCUUCCUUCCUCCCCUCCACCUCUUCCCCCUCUCUCUCCUAGUCCAACAUGGAAAAGGGGGGGAGUCCUACUCCCAGUAGGAGUAGGACUCCUCCUGGCGCGCCUCUCCCCUUGGCCGGCCGAACCCCCCUUGCUCCUUUAUAUACGGGGGCAGGGGGGCACCUCUAGACACACAAUUGAUCAUUGAUCUCUUAGCCGUGUUCGGUGCCCCCUCCACCAUAUUACACCUCGAUAAUAUCGUAGCGGUGCUUAGGCGAAGCCCUGCGUCGGUAGAACAUCAACAUUGUCACCACGCCGUCGUGCUGACGAAACUCUCCCUCAACACUCGACUGGAUCGGAGUUCGAGGGACGUCAUCAAGCUGAACGUGUGCUGAACUCGGAGGUACCGUGCGUUCGGUACUUGAUCGGUCGGAUCGUGAAGACGUACGACUACAUCAACCGCGUUGUGUUAACGCUUCCGCUUUCGGUCUACGAGGGUACGUGGACAACACUCUCUCCUCUUGUUGCUAUGCAUCACCAUGAUCUUGUGUGUGCGUAGAAUUUUUUUGAAAUUACUACGUUCCCCAACAGUCCAUUGUAACCAUACGAGACAGUGACAAAGGUUAACGGUAUCAGCUUCCGGGUGUGAGAAAACUGACCUUGAUAAGCACGGCCAAAAUUGUGUCCCAUGUUGUCUUUCUUCAAAGCUUGUCGGUUCUUGUAUCACCCACUGAGGUGUGUAACUGGCUUUGUUCCUCUUGCAUAACUGUUGAGGUUGUCGGGUUCUUACCUUGACUUCAUCGUCAUACAAGUGACUUGCAAGGACUUGGCAGCAUGCUCAUAGUAUAAGUAUUUAAUUUCCCGAGGUAGACACUUGUGUUCUGACUGAUACUUGUUUUUGAACAAACUUUUGCGGAUCUGAUUCUUGGGAAGUAUUGCCGUAUGCCGUCAACUCAUGGUGUAAUAUCUUGCACUAGUGUCGUACUGAGGAAGAUUGAAUAGCUUGUGCUUGAAGCUUUCAUUGGGGCAGCUUGUUGAGGAAGACUGGGUACCGUACUUCAGAAGCUGCCCCCCUAAAGACUUGUUGGGGAAGACUUGGUACCUUGUGCCGGAAGCAUUUGCAGUGGCGUACCGAAGAAGGUAGAGCAUCUUACCCAGGAAAUCAUCCACCUAUAGUGCUCGAGAAGAUAGAGGAAUCUUGCAUUGGAAGCUUCUCGGGUAGCUUGCGAGGGAAGAUUGUGUUGCUUACACCAGAAGCUUUUUACUGUGGUAUGCCGACUGAAUGCCAUAUAUAUCCUUUAAUAUUUCUGCUUCCGAUUAUUUAUAUGAAAAAGGUUGUUCGACUAUCCUUCUUGCGAAAGACUGAAUUCAUAGUGCAUUCUAACUUGCUUCUGGGGUAUAGCAUAUUUCAAAUCUUACUCAUAACAGAAUCAACCUUGUAUAUAAACCAUACCUUUAACUGAUAAUAUACUGUUGGUCUUACACCCAAAGCUGUCUUCUGGCUGGUUCCGUCAUUACCGCUGUGAAGAUUGCACACUGAUGUAUACUUGAUGCUGAUAAUCAAGCCAAGAUAUCUUUUUGCAGUCAGACCAGAUAUUUCCAAUAUAAUGCAGUCGGCUGAGAAUUCCAUAAUGUUUAGCUGAGCUUCCAAAUAUUUGAACUCAUUGCUAAUUCUUCGGGUCCGGUGUCGGUGGAGGAGCAAAUUUAAUAAGGGAAAAAUAAUGCAACACCAAGGGCCCAAGGAAAUAAGCAAAAGAAACAACUAAAACAAAAGCAAACGAAGCAUACAAAUAAUAUCAUAUUCAAGCAACACUACAUAUUACUGCUGCUCACAACAAUAAUAUGCAUGCAUACCUACGACACAAAUAUCGCAGAAACUCUGGCAUUGCGGUCUAACAUGUUGUGGCAGUGUGCACGAAAGUGAAUUCUCGUGUGGAAGGAGUUGGUGUAAACAAGGUUACACCAAGCGCUAGCUUAACACCGGUCGCAUCUGGGCGGACACGGAGGUGAGGACAUACUUGCUAAUCAUGUGGCGGAACGUGGAGGUCACGAUCACAUCAUCAUCAAGCGGACGGAAAAGAACCGUACACAUCCAAAGACUGGGGUGACAGGGUAGGGUUGUGGUGGAAAACUGGGCGCCCUAUCUGAUGGCAAAGAUCAAUAGGGUUGCCAAAGUGGCAAGUCGGAAGGCACGAUUCAGGAUAGAAACAUGCCUAUCACCGAAACGAUAGGGGUGGCUGACGGAAAGAUAACAUAUGUUCACCGCAGGUAAAUUAAACAUGCAUCGUAGUUGAGUGGAUGCGCAGUGUAUGUGUGUGCGCGUCUGGGGGGGGGGGUGGCUGGCAUUACACUACGAGUCGUCAGCCACCGUGUGAAUUUGGCCGUUUUGUGAGGCAGGUGCCACAUCAAACUCGUGAUUUCAUUAUUUAGAACAUCACACAACCCUUUCAUACAUACAUGUUUUGGCCACUACGUGCAGUCGGUGGUUGUCCUACACGACACUCACUCGUGUGUGAUGCUUUCUGUGGGCCCAUGAGGUCGCCGUCCAUCACUUCGACCAACAGCCGACAGAGAGGUUAUUUUUACCAGCAAGGUUGAUUCUUUUUCGUUUGUGUUAUGGUGGGAGUAUAUAGUAUGCGUUGAAGAGGUUGGAGGGGACUAGCAUAUAUACUACGAACGCGUCCGUGAACACACCUCACUCAGUGUCAGUACUUUUCGGUUUCCGAGGCACGUGCCACAUCAAAGUUGUGCAUUGGCUAUUCAAACAUCACACAACACCUCUUUGGGCCACAUGCAUGUAGGCGGUGGUUAUCGUAGGACACUCACGUGUGACACUUCCAUCUAUGGGCCUGCGAGGUCAUCGUCCAUGCAUGCAUUACUUUGACCUACAUCGGGAGAGGUUAAUUAAUUUCACCAUCAAGGAGGAUUCUUUUUUCUUUGUAUUACGGUAGGAGCACAUAGUAUGCGUCGAAGAGGGGGAACGGAACCAGCAUAUGUAGUACGCUUCAUGAACCUCGCUCUGUGUGGGGACUUUAUGAUUUUCGAGGCAUGUGCCACAUCAAAGUUGUGCAUUUUGUGUACUCAAACAUCACAACCACACACACCUCUCCAUAUAUAUGUCUGGCCCACAUGCAAAGUGAUGGUUGUUGUCCUCUGGCACCCACUCACGCAGUUAUCAGCGAUAUCGAUGCUCUCCAUCUGUAGGCCCGCUUGGUCCAUCACUACUUUACUCAACAACGAGAGAGGUUAAUUUGACUUAGGAGGGGAUUAUUUUUGGUUUGUAUUACGGUAUAUAGGUCAUGCUCUGGGAUGACAUGAUAUAGUUUGAGCACACAUGCAUGUGUACGCAUGAAUCCCUCCCAUCGAGUGGAAGUGGGAAGUAACACGACACGUCAUGAAUCGGUCUCACUCUGUGUCGGGACUGUAUGAUUUUCGACGCAUGUGCCAUGAUGACCCACAAGUAUAAGCGAUCAAUCGUAGUCCUUUUAAUUAGUAAGAGUAUCAAACCCAACGAGGAGCAGAAGGAAAUGACAAGUGAGUUUCAGCAAGGUAAUUUUUGCAAGCAUUGAAAUUGUAGGUAACAGAUAGUUUGGUAGUAAGGUAAUUUGUAAUGAGUAGGUAAAGGUAAUAGUAAGUAAAGUGUAGCAAGGUAGCCCAAUCCUUUUGUGGCAAAGGACAGACGAAAACAGUCUCUUAUAACAAGCAAAGCGUUCUUGAGGGUACACGGGAAUUUCAUCUAGUCACUUUCAUCAUGUUGAUUCGAUUUGUGUUUGUCGGAUUCACGGCUCCAUAGACCCAAGAGGUUCAAACUAUAGGGAGUGUUCGAAGAUCUUAACCUCUCGAGUCUCAAGCUUGUCGCCCUACAGCCUAGCCUCGUCGGGAGCACGCUCGAGCGGGGAAGAAGAAGAACACGGCAGUUUACCCAGGUUCGGGCCACCUUGCGGUGUAAAACCCUACUUCUGCUUUGUGGUGGACUGGCCUCACGAGGGGCUGAGGAUGAACAAGUACAGAGGAUGAACAGCCUCACGAGGGCUAUGGUGGUGAUGGUGGAAAGGAUCUGAUCCUGGGUCCCUCUCCACAGUGGUGGCUAACUUAUAUUUAUAGUGGCCUCGGUCCUCUUCCCUAAAAACAUAGGCGGGAAGGGAUCCCACAACGACCAAUUUGAAAUGGCACAAUAAGUACAUCUAAUCCUGACAAAAGGUCGUCUUCGCCUGCAAAGCUUCUAGUCAUGAUGCAGCGGUGGGCUCGGUGAUGACAUCUGUCCCGCCGAGCUCGUGGUCUUGGUCUUGUAGCACCGGAAUGGAAACCUUUGGGGGAUUCCCCAAGAACCCGUGCUCGUCCUUGGUCCCUUAGUACCGAAAGGGUAACUGCCUCCUCUGCGCCCGCUAGCGCCUGCCUGGCGUGAGGCUGGGUACCUGCAUAUAAAUCUUCGCUCCUCGGGAGGCCACCUCUUUGGAGGUCUUGGGGUCAUUCUCCUCGCGAGGGUCUUGUAUUGGAGGCCUUGUAGCUGGGCCGUACUAGGCCGUCGAGGGGGCCACGGCAUGGGCCGCAGGCAGGCAGGUCUAGGUACCCUAGUUCCCAGAACGCCGACAGUAGACCCCUCAAGGCGCGCCCGAGCUGGCUUCCAGGCGAAGCCAAGGGGCAGGGUCCAAGCGUCACGAGCCCUAACAGCCUGCGGGCCAAGGUUGACCCGUGGCGCUUGAUGAGACAUGGAUGGCUCCACUUCCCCAUGUCGCCUUGGCAACCGCCCAGGCUGACAAGGGACUGGCGCACGCCCGCAUGGCCAUCAUGGCACGAACGCGAAAGGACACCGGUUGGCCUCCUACUGCCUACAAGAGGGCGAGGGGGCGGAGCCCCCAGCCCGUCUUCAUCUUCUUGCCCCUCAUUAUUCCUCUUGCUGCAGCUUCCCUGGCACCGUUGAGGAGGUUCUCUGCCGCCGAGAAAGGGAAGCCCCCCAGGAAGGCCUAGUCUCGCCGCCUCGCAAGAGGGGGCGCGGUCGUCCCCGCAUGUGCGACGCGACGCCGGUGGCGGUCUCCCAGGGGCGCGGGCGCUUGCUACCUCUUGAGCACUGCGUUGGUUUUCCCUUGAAGAGGAAAGGGUGAUGCAGUAAAGCAGCGUAAGUAUUUCCCUCAGUUUUUGAGAACCAAGGUAUCAAUCCAGUAGGAGGCCACGCACGCGUCCCUCGCACGUACACAAACAAAUAAAAUCCCCGCAACCAACGCAAUAAAGGGGUUGUCAAUCCCUUCACGGUCACUUACGAAAGUGAGAUAUGAUAGAUAUGAUAAGAUAAUAUUUUUCGUAUUUUUAUGAUAAAGAUGCAAAGUAAAGAAAGCAAAAUAAAAAUAAUGCCAGAAAUAGCUUGUUGACGGGAGAUUAAAUAUGAUGGAAAAUAGACCCGGGGGCCAUAGGUUUCACUAGCGGCUUCUCUCGAGAGCAUAGGUAUUACGGUGGGUAAACAAAUUACUGUUGAGCAAUUGACAGAAUUGAGCAUAGUUCUGAGAAUAUCUAGGUAUGAUCAUGUAUAUAGGCAUCACGUCCGUGACAAGUAGACCGACUCCUGCCUGCAUCUACUACUAUUACUCCACACAUCGACCGCUAUUCAGCAUGCAUCUAGAGUAUUACGUUCAAAAGAACAGAGUAACGCUUUAAGUAAGAUGACAUGAUGUAGAGGGAUAAACUCAUGCAAUAUGAUACAAACCCCAUCUUGUUAUCCUCGAUGGCAACAAUACAAUACGUGCCUUGCUGCCCCUACUGUCACCGGGAAAGGACACCGCAAGAUUGAACUCAAAGCUAAGCACUUCUCCCAUUGCAAGAAAGAUCAAUCUAGUAGGCCAAACCAAACUGAUAAUUCGAAGAGACUUGCAAAGAUAACCAAUCAUACAUAAAAGAAUUCAGAGAAGAUUCAAAUAUUGUUCAUAGAUAAACUUGAUCAUAAACCCACAAUUCAUCGGUCUCAACAAACACACCGCAAAAGAAGAUUACAUCGAAUAGAUCUCCACGAGAAUCGUGGAGAACUUUGUAUUGAGAUCCAAAGAGAGAGAAGAAGCCAUCUAGCUAAUAACUAUGGACCUGAAGGUCUGAGGUAAACUACUCACACAUCAUCGGAGAGGCUAUGGUGGUGAUGUAGAAGCCCUCCGUGAUCAAUGCCCCCUCCGGCGGAGCUCCGGAAAAGGCCCCAAGAAGAGAUCUCAUGGUAUAGAAGGUUGUGGUGGUGGAAUUAGUUUUUUGGCUCCGUAUCUGGUAGUUUGGGGGUACGUAGGUAUAUAUAGGAGGAAGAAGUACGUCGGUGGAGCAACGUGGGCCCCACGAGGGUGGAGGGCGCACCCAGGGGGGUAGGCGCGCCCCCUACCUCGUGCCCUCCUGGUUGCUUUCUUGACGUAGGGUCCAAGUCCUCUGGAUCACGUUCGUUCCAAAAGUCACGUUCCCGAAGGUUUCAUUCCGUUUGGACUCCGUUUGAUAUUCUUUUUCUGCGAAACUCUGAAAUAGGCAAAAAACAGCAAUUCUGGGCUGGGCCUCCGGUUAAUAGGUUAGUCCCAAAAAUAAUAUAAAAGUGUAUAAUAAAGCCCAUUAAUGUCCAAAACAGAAUAUAAUAUAGCAUGGAACAAUAAAAAAAUUAUAGAUACGUUGGAGACGUAUCAAGCAUCCCCAAGCUUAAUUCCUGCUCGUCCCCGAGUAGGUAAAUGAUAAAAACAGAAUUUUUGAUGUGGAAUGCUACUUGGCAUAAUUUCAAUGUAAUUCUCUUAAUUGUGGUAUGAAUAUUCAGAUUCGAAAGAUUCAAGACACAAGUUUAAUAUUGACAUAAAAAUAAUAAUACUUCAAGCAUACUAACUAAGCAAUUAUGUCUUCUCAAAAUAACAUGGCCAAAGAAAGUUAUCCCUACAAAAUCAUAUAGUCUGGCUAUGCUCUAUCUUCACCACACAAAGUAUUUAAAUCAUGCACAACCCCGAUGACAAGCCAAGCAAUUGUUUCAUACUUUCGAUGUUCUCAAACUUUUUCAAUCUUCACGCAAUACAUGAGCGUGAGCCAUGGACAUAGCACUAUAUGUGGCAUAGAAUGGUGGUUGUGGAGAAGACAAAAAAAGGAGAAGAUAGUCUCACAUCAACUAGGCGUAUCAACGGGCUAUGGAGAUGCCCAUUAAUAGAUAUCAAUCUGAGAGAGUAGGGAUUGCCAUGCAACGAAUGCACUAGAGCUAUAAGUGUAUGAAAGCUCAACAAAAGAAACUAAGUGGGUGUGCAUCCAACUCGCUUGCUCACGAAGACCUAGGGCAUUUUGAGGAAGCCCAUCAUUGGAAUAUACAAGCCAAGUUCUAUAAUGAAAAAUUUCCCACUAGUAUAUGAAAGUGAUAUCAUAGGAGACUCUCUAUCAUGAAGAUCAUGGUGCUACUUUGAAGCACAAGUGUGGUAAAAGGAUAGUAACAUUGUCCCUUCUCUCUUUUUCUCUCAUUUUUUUUAUUUGGGCCUUUUCUCUUUUUUAUGGCCUCUUUUUUUUAGUCCAGAGUCUCAUCCCGACUUGUGGGGGAAUCAUAGUCUCCAUCAUCCUUUCCUCACUUGGGACAAUGCUCUAAAAAAUGAUGAUCAUCACACUUUUAUUUACUUACAACUCAACAAUUACAACUCAAUACUUAGAACAAAAUAUGACUCUAUGUGAAUGCCUCCGGCGGUAUACCGGGAUAUGCAAUGAAUCAAGAGUGACAUGUAUGAAAGAAUUAUGAACGGUGGCUUUGCCACAAAUACAAUGUCAACUACAUGAUCAUGCAAAGCAAUAUGAUAAUGAUGGAGCGUGUCAUAAUAAACUGAACGGUGGUAAGUUGCAUGUCAAUAUAUCUCGGAAUGGCUAUGGAAAUGCCAUGGUAGGUAGGUAUGGUGGCUGUUUUGAGGAAGGUAUAUGGUGGGUGUAUGAUACCGGCGAAAAGUGCGCGGUAUUAGAGAGGCUAGCAAUGGUGGAAGGAAGAAAGUGCGUAUAAUCCACGGACUCAACAUUAGUCAUAAAGAACUCAUAUACUUAUUGCAAAAAUCUACAAUUUAUCGAAGCAAAGUAUUACGUGCAUGCCCCUAGGGGAAUAGAUUUGUAGGAAAAGACCAUCGCUCGUCCCUGACCGCCACUCAUAAGAAAGACAAUCAAUAAAUAAAUCAUGCUCCGACUUCAUCACAUAACGGUUCACCAUACGUGCAUGCUAAGGGAAUCACAAACUUUAACACAAGUAUUUCUCAAAUUCAAAACUACUCAACUAGCAUGACUCUAAUAUCACCAUCUCCAUAUCUCAAAACAAUUAUCAAGUAUCAAACUUCUCAUAGUAUUCAACACACUCAUAAGAUUUUUUUUACUAAUCUUGAAUGCCUAUCAUAAUUAAAGCAAAUUACCAUGCUGUUUUGUAGGACUCUAGAAAUAAUCUAAGUGAAGCAUGAGAGAACAAUAGUUUCUAUAAAACAAAACUAACACCGUGCUCUAAAAGAUAUAAGUGAAGCACUAGAGCAAAAACUAUAUAACUCAAAAGAUAUAAGUGAAGCACAUAGAGUAUUCUAACAAUUUCCGAAUCAUGUGUGUAUUUCUCAAAAGGUGUGUACAGCAAGGAUGAUUGUGUCAAAAUAACAAAUAAAUACUCAAAUCAUACAAGACGCUCCAAGCAAAACACAUAUCAUGUGGUGAAUAAAAAUAUAGCUCCAAGUAAAGUUAUCGAUGGAAGUAGACGAAAGAGGGGAUGCCUUCCGGGGCAUCCCCAAGCUUUGGCUUUUUGGUGUCCUUAGAUUAUCUUGGGGUGCCAUGGGCAUCCCCAAGCUUAGGCUCUUUCCACUCCUUGUUCCAUAAUCCAUCAAAUCUUUCACCCAAAACUUGAACACUUCACAACACAAAACUCAGCAGAAAAUCUCGUGAGCUCCGUUAGCGAAAGAAAACAAAACACCACUUCAAGGUACUGUAAUGAACUCAUUAUUUAUUUAUAUUGGUGUUAAACCUAAUGUAUUCCAACUUCUCUAUGGUUUAUAAACUAUUUUACUAGCCAUAGAUUCAUCAAAAUAAGCAAACAACACACGAAAAACAGAAUCUGUCAAAAACAGAACAGUCUGUAGUAAUCUGUAACUAACGCAAACUUCUGGGACUCAAAAAAUUCAGCCAAAAUAGGAAGACCUAGAAAAUUUGUUUAUUGAUCAGCAGAAAUUGGAAUAAAUAUUUUAUCACGUUCUGGUGAUUUUUAACGAUUAUUUUCGUGAACAGAAAGUUUCUGGAAUUUUCAGCAAGAUCAAAUAACUAUCAUCCAAGAAGAUCCUAUAGGUUUAACUUGGCACAAACACUAAUUAAAACAUAAAAACAAAUCUAACCAGAGGCUAGAUCAAAUAUUUAUUCCUAAAAAGAAGCAAAAAUCAAAGAACUAAAAAUAAAAUUGGGUUGGCUCCCAACAAGCGCUACCGUUUAACGCCCCUAGCUAGGCAUUGAGAUUUCAAUGAUGCUCACAAGAAAGACAAGAAUUGAAGCACAAAGAGAGCAUCAUAUAACACGUGACAAACAUAUCUAAGUCUAACAUAAUUCCUAUGCAUAGGCAUCUUGUAAGCAAACAAAUUUGCAAGGCAAGCAAAAACUAGCAUAUGCAAGGAAGCGGAAAGAAAUAAUAGCAAUCUCAUCAUAACGAGAGGUAAUUUAGUAACAUGAAAAUUUCUACAAUCAUAUUUUCCUCUCUCAUAAUAAUUACAUGUAGGAUCAAAAUCAAAUUCAACAAUAUAGCUAUCACAUAAAAUUUUCUCUACAUGAUCCAGAUGCAUGCAAAGUUGACACUCUUUUGAAAUAGUGGGAUUAACAUGAACUAAAGUCAUGACCUCUCCAAACCCACUUUUAUCAAAAAUUUCAUAAGAUUGAAUAUUCUCCAAAUAUGUGGGAUCUAAAGUUGACACUCUUCCAAACCCACGUUCAAUAAUAUUGCAAAAACUAUUAUCAAUCUCAUAUUCAUCAUGGGGCUUAAAUAAAUUUUCAAGAUCAAAAGAAGAAUCACCCCAAUCAUGAUCAUUGCAACAAGUAGUAGACAUAGCAAAACUAGCAUCCCCAAGCUUAGGGUUUUGCAUAUUAUUAGCACAAUUUUCAUUAAGAAAAUUUAUUAAAAUUAUUGCAAUCAUGCUUUUCAUCGAAGGAACUACCAAGUAGGGGUGCAUUAGCAACGAUCUCAUGUUUAACGUAAGGAACUAUAGCAAAUUCAUCUUCAUAAAUAUUGGCAUCAUGGCCACAAGGAUAGCAAGCAUCAUGUUCAUCAAGGGAUAUUUCAAUCAAAUCAUCGGAAUCAUAAUCAUCUAUAGAUUCAUGCAUAUCAUUAUUUUCUUUAGAAGCAACGGUCAUUCUUUCAAUAAAUUCUUUGACAUAGACAUUAUGAGCAUAGUUUUCAUAGCAAUAUUCAAGUAUGUCAAGAUUUUCAGAUUCGUAAAGAGUAGUAUCAUACUCUUCAAGAAAAGAAGCAACUUUAAAAGAACCCUUAAAAGCAACAAAUUCUUCAAUUUGCUCAAUAUCAUAGUAGCUAUAAACACCAUUUGCAUAAGAAGAUAAGAUUUCAUUUUCAUUAAACUCACAUAGGUAGGGGAGGUGUUUUUUAGGGUUCUUAGAGCAAUAAGUAAUAUCACAAAUUUCACAAAGAUUCCAAGCAUAACAUAGCAAUUUCUUUAUUUGAUUCCAUAAGAGUUUCCCUUUUUCAGACAAACGGUGACGCACAAAAUGAGCAUGCUCAUCUAAAGAUUUCCCAUCAACUAGGCUAGUUGGGGUUUCAGCAUGAGCGCAUAAGGAUCAAAGAUGAUCCAAGUAGAACACUUUAAGUGGGUCCAUAUCAAUAGAUUUUUAGCAAGCAAAGAUGCAAUCAAAUAGAAGGCACGUGGAAACACAAACAAAAAGGCAUACGGGAAGAAGGCGAAUAAAACAGCAAGGGUGAAGUGGGGGAGAGGAAAACGAGAGGCAAAUGGCAAAUAAUGUAAUGCGGGAAAUAAGAGUUUGUGAUGGGUACUUGGUAUGUUGACUUUUGCGUAGACUCCCCGGCAACGGUGCCAGAAAUCCUUCUUGCUAUCUCUUGAGCACUGCGUUGGUUUUCCCUUGAAGAGGAAAGGGUGAUGCAGUAAAGCAGCGUAAGUAUUUCCCUCAGUUUUUAAGAACCAAGGUAUCAAUCCAGUAGGAGGCCACGCACGAGUCCCUCGCACCUACACAAACAAAUAAAAUCCUCGCAACCAACACAAUAAAGGGGUUGUCAAUCCCUUCAUGGUCACUUACGAAAGUGAGAUCUGAUAGAUAUGAUAAGAUAAUAUAUUUGGUAUUUUUGUGAUAAAGAUGCAAAGUAAAGAAAGCAAAAUAAAAACAGCGCCAGAAAUAGCUAGUUGACGGGAGAUUAAAUAUGAUGGAAAAUAGACCCGGGGGCCAUAGGUUUCACUAGUGGCUUCUCUCGAGAGCAUAAGUAUUACGGUGGGUAAACAAAUUACUGUUGAGCAAUUGACAGAACUGAGCAUAGUUAUGAGAAUAUCUAGGUAUGAUCAGGUAUAUAGGCAUCACGUCCGUGACAAGUAGACCGACUCCUGCCUGCAUCUACUACUAUUACUCCACACAUCGACCGCUAUCCAGCAUGCAUCUAGAGUAUUAAGUUCAAAAGAACAGAGUAACGCUUUAAGUAAGAUGACAUGAUGUAGAGGGAUAAACUCAUGCAAUAUGAUAUAAACCCCAUCUUGUUAUCCUCGAUGGCAACAAUACAAUACGCGCCUUGCUGCCCCUACUGUCACUGGGAAAGGACACCGCAAGAUUGAACCCAAAGCUAAGCACUUCUCCAUAUUGCAAGAAAGAUCAAUCUAGUAGGCCAAACCAAACUGAUAAUUCGAAGAGACUUGCAAAGAUAACCAGUCAUACAUAAAAGAAUUCAGAGAAGAUUCAAAUAUUUUUCAUAGAUAAACUUGAUCAUAAACCCACAAUUCACCGGUCUCAACAAACACACCGCAAAGGAAGAUUACAUCGAAUAGAUCUCCACGAGAAUCGUGGAGAACUUUGUAUCGAGAUCCAAAGAGAGAGAAGAAGCCAUCUAUCUAAUUACUAUGGACCCGAAGGUCUGAGGUAAACUACUCACACAUCAUCGGAGAAGCUAUGGUGUUGAUGUAGAAGCCCUCCGUGAUCAAUGCCCCCUCCGACGGAGCUCCGGAAAAGGCCCCAAGAUGGGAUAUCACGGGUACAGAAGGUUGCGGCGGUGGAAUUAGGUUUUUGGCUCCGUAUCUGGUAGUUUGGGGGUACGUAGGUAUAUAUAGGAGGAAGAAGUACGUCGGUGGAGAAACAUGGGCCCCACGAGGGUGGAGGGCGCGCCCAGGGGGGUAGGCGUGCCCCCCUACCUCGUGCCCUCCUGGUUGCUUUCUUGACGUAGGGUCCAAGUCCUCUGGAUCACGUUCGUUCCAAAAAUCAUGUUCCCGAAGGUUUCAUUCCGUUUGGACUCCGUUUGAUAUUCUUUUUCUACGAAACUCUGAAAUAGGCAAAAAACAACAAUUCUGGGCUGGGCCUCCGGUUAAUAAGUUAGUCCCAAAAAUAAUAUAAAAGUGUAUAAUAAAGCCCAUUAAUGUCCAAAACAGAAUAUAAUAUAGCAUGGAACAAUCAAAAAUUAUAGAUACGUUGGAGACGUAUCAGCGCUCACCCACUGGCAUCCGCAUUGCCUCUGGUGGUCGCGGAAAGGGUCCCUCUUGCGGGGGCGGCAGCGGAAGACGUAGCCGCCGCGGCCGAGGUGGAGGGCUCGCGGUGGCCGCCCGACCACCACGCCCGCAAUCCAACACGACCGGCAUGGCCCGGUAGUUCAUAGUGUGGGUGGAGAGGCCGGAGGGACGCUGGAUCCACCUCCCACACUUCUUCGAGGAGGAGCUGCCGGUCGGAGGGCCCGGUGUCCUAUGGCUGCAAGCCGACGGGUGUUGCGGCAAGGCCUCAUGGGUGGAGAUUGAGGUCACCCCCACAGGCAACGUGUUCCUGAAUCGCGGGUGGCAGACCUUUGCCCUUGCUCACGGCCUUCAGGGGAGGCGUACCCUCCACUUUAAGUAUGAUGGAGCGGUGAUGCUUUUCGUCAAGGUCUUCGAGGAAGACGACCGACUCUUCGGGUGCUGCCCGGAAGGCGUCGACAGCGACAGCGACCACCUCUCCGAUGGUAGUCACAGCGGCGGUGGCGCCAUCCAUGGUGAACUUGCCCUUGGCGAUGGCCGCGAGGCCUCCAGCAGCGGUGGCGCCUCCUCCAGGGAGAGCACGAGCGAUGAUGACUACGACGAGCCGCUGCACCGCCGCACCCAGACUAAGGUGGAAGGUGAGGCGCCAUGCCGCCGGGCCCCCGUGAAGGAGGAGGAGGACUCUGACUAAUCGCAGGCAGCACCAGAGCCGGGCCUUGGGAAUAGCGUCCCUCGAGAGGCCGCUCCUUUUGUUUGUUUCUGUUUCCUGCACAAAAAACCGUGAGGGGCCCCGCGGGGCGUGUAAUGAAUUGUAGCUCUUGCGCCUUUAUUCUAUUUAUUGCGCCUAUCCUAGCAUCCGUGUAGCUAUCAAUUGAAAGGUUCAUGUCCAACAUGAUUAGGAUAACUUAGCUUGAUGUGCUUGUGGCCCUUAGUGGGUCCCUCCAUCACGGGAGCGCGCCCCUCUGGAGCCUUAACUCCGGGUACGGCCGUGGGGUCCUGGGGAGGCCCCCUCCUCCAGGGCCUAACCGCUCCAGGGUCUCAAGGGGCCUACACCUCGUGAGGCCCUUGGGGGACUCACGAGGUUUCGGAGCCUCCAGAGACGCCUCCACCAGGGGUCCGACCUUCCAAAGGUCCAGGUAGCACUUGGCGUGAGGUAGCUCUAGGAACAAGCCAAGCCGCGACUGCCCUUUCUCUAGCCAUCUUCUCUUGGCGCCCAUACCGUGCCCGAGCUCCCGAGCGAGGGUCGAUCGUUGCUAGUAUGCUGGGUCGCGAUACCCGGUGAGCCCGUGAGGUGGCCAGGAACCACACUUCCCUGUUGGCUCGCUCAAGAGCGUCACGCGAGGAUCUGGACGCCAAGGCUUUAGCGAGGUGCGCGUGCGGGCAAGCCGGCAACCGUUGUGACAACGUUGCCGGGUUUGCCCUAAGUGCAACACCGUGCCCAGCCCCCGCUCGCUAGACGCGAGGGAGUGAGCAAUGGGCCGUUGUUAUGCCCUCCGAAAACAAGGUUGGAAAGGGAAAACGCCACAAGAAUAAAAAAUGCUGACCCCCCAUUCAAAUAAAGACGCGGAAACUUCAAACUUCAUUUCAACAAAUAGCAAAUUUUGGCUUACAAGAGAAAGCAAAGAACAGCCGCGUCCGGCACCUAUGCUAGUCUUCCCACCAGCGCGGAGCAUGGGGCCUCCACUUGGCAUGGGCAUAGUCGUUGCUUGACCAUGUCGUCCGCCAGUGCGGAGCAUGGGGCUUCCACUUGGGCAUGGGUGGGAGCCCCCGUGAGGCCCAUGGGCGGCACUCAGGAGAAUCCGGGGCGUGUACAGCCCCACUUAUUAUUACGUGAGAGUGUCACGGUUAGAACUUCUGGAGAUGUUGGAUGUUCCAAGCAUUCGGGAUGGGGAUCCCGUCCUGCUCUCCAGGCGUACGGCGACAGGCUGGGAGACGCGGGCGAUCCUAAAUGGGCCCUCCCACAUGGGCGAGAGCUUGUGAAGGCCCUCCCUAGAAAGGACCUGCCUCAGGACGAGGUCUCCCACCUCGAGGGUCCGGGAGCAGAUGCUGCGGCGGUGGUAACGCUGCAGUGCCUGCUGAUACCUCGCUGCAUGGAGCGAGGCUUGGCGACGGGCUUCCUUCCCGAGCACGAGAUCCAUUCCCCGCAAGGCAUCCUGACGUGCCUCAUCGAAUGUCAGGACCUGCGGGGAGUGAUGCUUGACCUCGUGCGGGAGGACCGCCUCAGCCCCAUAGACGAGGAAGAACGGGGUAUCGCCGGUGGGCUUAGUUGCUAUGGUGCGGAUGGACCACAACACGGACUAAAGCUCACCGAGCCAACCCCUGCCGCAGGCUUCAAGCUUCUUGUUGAAGCUCCUUUCCUUGAGGCCCCUCAAGACCUCCGUGUUGGCGCGCUCAGCCUGGCUGUUGCUCUAUGGGUGCGCCACCGAAGCGUAGCAUAUGGUUGGGGACACCGAAAUGGCUCACGAGGCCCUUGGUGAACUUAACGGCUGAGCCAGCGGGGAUGGUGCGGACGGGCUCCACCUCCGCCACUUGGUGAACUUGUCGAUGGUGACGUAGAGGUAGCGGUAUCCGCCGGCUGCUCAAGGGAAUGGACCCAGGAUAUCCAGCCCCCAGACUGCAAACAGCCACGGGAGCGGAAUGGUCUCGAGACCUUGUGCGGGUUGAUGGAUCUGCUUGGCGUGGAACUGACAGGCCUCAUCGGAUCGCACCAUAUCUGUGGCGUUGUUGAGCGUCGUAGGCUAGUAGAACCUGUUGCGUAACACCUUGCCCACGAGGGUGCGCGAUGAGGAGUGGUGCCCGCAAUCCCCACCGUGGAUGUCGGCCAGCAAUUCGCGCCCCUGUUCUCCGGAUAUCUACCGCAGGGAGACGACAUUGGGGCGUCGCUAGUACAGCUCGCCGUCCUGCAAGCAAUAAGUCGUGGCCUAGCGGACCACGCGCUCCGUGUCUUCCUCCUUCUCCGGUAAGGCGUCGUGGAGCAGGUAUGCCUUGAGCUCCUCCGUCUAGCAGCCUACCCGAGGUUCCAGCGCCAGGAGUACACGGGCUCCCGAGGUCGGACCACAAGCAGGGGCUCCUAAGGUUGGGGCCGGUGGUGGCUCCUCCCUGAGCAACACCGAGCCCGUGGCCGGGGGUGUCGCUAAUGGCUUGAAGAGACUCUCCUCGAAGACGCCAGGCUUCUAAGGCUCACGGCGGGACGCCCUCUUGGCUUUGUCGUCUGCUUCCUUGUUCCCGCCGUGCGGGACAUGCUGCAAUUCCAAGCCCAGGAAACGCUUUUCGAUUUUAUGUACCUCUUCCAGGUAAGCCUCCAUGUGCUCGUCCUUUGGUUUAUACUCCUUGUUGGAGAAGUUGACGAGGAAUUGGGAGUCGCCCUUGAUGGUGAGGUGCUUGAUCCCCAGGGCAGCCACGGCCCUAAGGCUAGCAAUCAAGCCCUUGUACUCCGUAAUGUUGUUCGAGACCUUGCCACGCUGGAAGCAAAGUUGCACAACAAGUAGAGUUUGUCCACGGUGGGUGAGAUGAGCACGACUCCAGCCCCUGCGCCCUACCAGGCGAAGGCUCCGUCGAAGUGCAUGACCCAGCCGUCGGGUGCUUCUUGCUAGGCGUGAGGGACUGGUCCUCAUCCAGCCCCCCGUCUGGAGCGUCGGUCCACUCUACCACGAAAUCAGCCAGGGCCGCUCCCUUGAUGACCCUGGUAGUGCUGAACUCUAGCUAGAAGGACUGCAGCUCAAUGUUGCACUCUGCGACCCUCCCCGCGGCGUUGGGGCUGCAUAGCACCUUCUCCAGGGGGUACACCGACACGGCCUUGAUGGGCUGGCCUUGGAAAUAGUGGCGCAACUUCCUUGACGCGACGAGGAGUGCGAGCAAGAGCUUCUGCUGCAUAGGGUAGCGCGCGCGUGCAUCACGCAUCACCGUGCUAACGAAGUGUUGUAGGGUGGAACCCUAGAUGGAGAUCUUUCACGAAUUGGAGGGGAAUCCCAAAGAACACGAGGAACACGAAGAACAUAAGAGAGGGAAAACACUCAAAUUGACUAGAUCCAACCACACAUAUGCUAGAUCCAAGAACACACAAGAGGUCACAAUGAUUCAAGGACAACAAAGGAAAGAUACAAGGUACUAGUUCAUCCCAAUCCUAUGAGGAGAGAGGUCUUGAUGAUCCUAUGAUGGGGAUCCUUCCCAAGAUGGGGGCUUGAUAUCCACUAGGGAUCUUCUCCUAGGAGGUCUUGAUCUCCUAGAGGAGUGGGUACAAGGAGCAAAGCUCUCUAAUGUAUCUCAUAUCCUUUGCUAUCCCCUCUAUGAGCUAGGUGAGGAGCAUAUAUAAGCUAGGGACGAAUUGUGGGUAAAACAAGGGUACAUAGGUAAAUUAUCCCGAAAUACGCGUAGCCACGGUGGAGGGUCCGGGCACCCGGGGUCAAGGGGUCCGGGCACCCGGGGGUCGCCUGGAGACGGAGGGCCGGGCACCUGGGGUGAAGUCCGGACACCCGGGGCGCUCCUGGGGAGGGGGCUGGGCACCCAGGGGUGGGAGGCCCGGGCACCCGAGGCGUCCAGGGGGGCCGCGCCCUUGGCGGCUGGCAGGGCCGGGCACCCGGUGGUGGCGGUGCGGGCACCCGGGGUGUCCAGAGAGCUCCGAUGCUUCGCGUCUUGGGGCCUCCUUCUCCCUUCUUGGAUGGUGUAGGUGUUCUCUUGCACUUGAACUCCUCCUCGUCGUUGAUGAAGCUCCGGUAAUACCUAUACAUGCACACAAGAGGGAUGUCAAGUAGUAUACACUACAAAAAAAAGACGCAUCCGUGACAUUUUGGGCCGAACGAAAUUUUUUCUGUCAUACUUAUGACACUUCUAUGACAAUAAUUGUGACAAAACACGGUAUCAUCAUACAUGUGGUGGGGUCCUACUUCUAUGACAAAAAAUCAUGACAGAAAAUGGGCUUUUCGUCCUGGGCGGGCCGGAGACGCAGCUGCAUGACAUUCUUUGGGCUGUCCAAGACGGAAAAAACCAUGGUAGAAGCGAGGGCGAGGAAAAUAUCGGGGUGUUCCCGGUUACGGUGGGUGGUAGGGGCCGAGCGAUGCGCGUUUCUCUCGUACACGCACGCACAUGGGUGCGAGGCGUUGGGCUCUAACUGAACCCGAGCGAGGCGUUGGGCUCUAACUGAACUUGAGUGAUUGCACUGCAGGCUACGCGUUACUGAACCCGAGCGAUCGAUCGAUGGCUGUUAACUGAACCCGAUCGGGCGAUUCCUUCGCUACUGCUGCUAACUGAAGCCGACCGAUGCUGCCUCUGGAUGAACAGNNNNNNNNNNNNNNNNNNNNNNNNNNNNNNNNNNNNNNNNNNNNNNNNNNNNNNNNNNNNNNNNNNNNNNNNNNNNNNNNNNNNNNNNNNNNNNNNNNNNNNNNNNNNNNNNNNNNNNNNNNNNNNNNNNNNNNNNNNNNNNNNNNNNNNNNNNNNNNNNNNNNNNNNNNNNNNNNNNNNNNNNNNNNNNNNNNNNNNNNNNNNNNNNNNNNNNNNNNNNNNNNNNNNNNNNNNNNNNNNNNNNNNNNNNNNNNNNNNNNNNNNNNNNNNNNNNNNNNNNNNNNNNNNNNNNNNNNNNNNNNNNNNNNNNNNNNNNNNNNNNNNNNNNNNNNNNNNNNNNNNNNNNNNNNNNNNNNNNNNNNNNNNNNNNNNNNNNNNNNNNNNNNNNNNNNNNNNNNNNNNNNNNNNNNNNNNNGAUGAACAGGACCCCGUGGUGUUGCCUCUGGAUGAACAGGACCCCGAUCGAUCAAGCCGGUUGGGGCUGGAUGAACAGGACCCCAUGGAGGGCAGGAUGAACAGGACCACCCCGUGGAGGGCAGGAUGAACAGUAGACGGUGGAGGGCUGGAUGAACAGUAGCCCGUGGACGGGUGGUUGAACAGGAGCCCGUGAAGAGGGCUGGUUGAACAAUAGCCGGUGGAGUAGCGCGCGGUGGAGGCUGGAUGAACAGGAGCCCGUGGAUGAACAGUCGCAGGUGGAGGCUGGAGGAGGUCGACGGUGGAUGAACAGUAGCCCGUGGAGGCUGGAGGGGGUCGACGGUGGAGAUGAACAGUAUCCCGUGGAGUCCCGUUUUGCGGUACGCCACACCCAUCCCGAUGAACACGACCCCCGUUUAGACCGUAGCGCUCCAACACAAGUCUGUUUCCUCCGUUUUGCGGUACGCCACACCCCUCCUGAUGAACAUGACCCCCGUUUCGACCGUAGGAGGUCCGUUUCCUCCGUUUUGCGGUACGCCAGACCCCUCCCAAUGAACAGGAUCCGUUUCGAACGUGGCCGGUCGAACACAAGGCCGUUUCCUCUGUUCUGUGGUACGCCAGGCCUCGUUUCCAUCGGCUAUUCCGUCCAAGCCCUCCCGAUGAACACGACGGUGCAUUCUGUUCCAACCCAGCCGGUUGGCUCCCCAUGAACACAACGACGAUGCACUUUCUCCGUUCUGACCCAACCAUGUACACGAGCCCUGGCCGUACGUAUGCACGAGUAGGCGUUCGAGACCCUGCCCGUAUGUACGUACGUGGCCGUAUUUUCUUUCUUGCACACUGGCCGCUGUACAUACGUGUACAUGCUACGUGCACGCCUCUACUACGACAUGUGCGCACCUCUACAUCGACCAGUAUGUACGUACACGUUCGCGACCAGAAUGACAACGCUACGUACGCUUCGAGCAGGUGGGUCCCGACUGUCAGGCACUUCCUUGCGUGCGAAGAUGUAGCUGGUGGGUCCCAGCAGUCAGGGGGGCGAAUCAUUUUUUUGCCCAGACGCACUUCCUUGCAUGCGAAGAUGUACCUGGUGGGUCCCAGCAGUCAGGGGAAACAUUUUUUUCACGAAAUACUAUGGCCUGUCCGGUGGGUCCCCGCUGUCAGGUGGAGGAAUAAUUAUUUUGCGCAUAAUAAGGAGGCACUUCCUUGCUGCGGCCGUGGACCCAGCUGUCAGCCUCUCCACGUACAGUCCACGUUCGAUGGAAGCCGUUCCUUGACCAUGUUGACCACGCCGCGCCGAGAGCACCAGGGCGGUGGACGACGGCGAGGCCUAGGAAGGGGAGGACGCGGAGCCGGGGAAGACGCGGUAGUGGAUGCCCACGCGAAGAGGAGUACGAGGGUUCACUGGUUCGCUGCGGUGUGAGGCUGCCGUCGCCGCAGAAUAACAGGGGAUGUGGGUGAGUAGAGGGAUGGCCUGGCCAGCAGUGGGAGUAGUAGGGGGCGGUGAGGCCUCUGCCGCAUCACAACCGGCCACGGGAGGUAGGAGCAUGAGGCACGACCGGCGCUGCUUUGGGCGGCUGGAGCAAGAAGACCAGAGGUUGAAGAAGCACUAUGGCCGUUGGAUGGACAUCGUAUGGUCACUGGAGCUAGAAUCGUUCAUAUUGACUAAGUUGAUAAAGCCCUCCGUCCCCGUCAACUUAGUUGGCCCACAAGUCAGCCUCCCACUAUUGUGGGUCCCAGCUAGCAGGGGGUAUUCAUUUUUUUGUGCGUAAUAAGGAGGCACUUCCUUGCGUGCGAGGAUAUAGCUGGUGGGUCCGACCUGUCAGCCGUGGGAACGUUUUUCGUGAAAUACAGAGGCCCUUCCAGUGGGUCCCAGCUGUCAGGUGGAGGAAUCAUUAUUUUGCGCGUAAUAAGGAGGCAUUUCCUUGCGUGCGGCCGUGGACCCAGCUGCCAGCCUCUCCACACACAGUCUACUUCCGAUGGUGUCAUUGGUUGACCACGUUGACCACUCCGCGCCGAGUGCAUCCAAGGUGGUGGACGACGGCGAGGCCCCGGACAACAACGAGCCGGAGAUGGGAAGACGCAGGAGUAGAGUCGUAGACGGAGAGGUGUACGAGGGUUAACUGGUUCUGGUGCGGUGUGGUUCGGUAGUCGGUGGAGAAGAACAGGAGGUGUGGAGGGGUGGAGGGAUGGCCUGGCUAACGGUGGAGUAGCGCUUCACAGCGAAGCGUGCUAAGCAGAGCUGCUAGCAGCAGGAGGCGGGAGCAGGUGGUCCCGGCGGCGCUGGAGGAAGAAGACGAGAGAUUGAAGAUGGAUGCCGGUCGUUGGAUGUAAAUCCAACGGCUAACGAUGUCAGAAUCAUUUGUUAACUAAGUUGACAACGACUUGCAUUGGCUUCGACCUAUUGGCCCACAUUUCAGCCUCCAAAAAUGUGGCACGUAUUCAACCCAUUUUUUCAGAAUUUACAGUCUUUUUUUGCGGGGUAGAAUUUACAGUCCAUUUGAUCUUUUUUUGAACUAUAGUCCAUUAGCUGGGCUGGGUGAACAAAUAAUGUAGCAUCCAUGCGGCCCAUUUAUGUUUUUCCUAAAAAAUUACAGGCCAUUUGCACUUUCUCGAAAUACACGAUUUUGCUGGGCUUAUUCUAAUUAUAAUGUUGGGGUGGGCGCAACAAUGUUAUCAAAAAAUAAACAGGGGCUGAGCAUUUUGUUAUAUAUAUAUAUAUAUAUAUAAUAAGUGAUUUAUUAUUACAUUGGUCCUUAAAUCUUACCGAGCUUUUGUAAACAAUCCAGGAUUUUAUUUUUAAGAAAUUAUUUUUAUAAGUUAAUAAGAUGUGGGAUAUUGUUUUCUUACACAUGUAAGUAUCUGUUAAAUAUAUGAUGAAAAUAACAAUAAUAUAUAAUAACAUAUAAAAUAAUUUAAAUAUAUAUAAUAUAGUUAGAAGGGAAACAUAAGUUGGACCAGGCGUUCCUAUUCUUAUAUAGAAAAAUAGAACAGACCUCUGUGUUUUCUUCAAAAAAAAUACAUAAAUUGGGCUGCCGAUGUUUCAGGAAAAAUAAAAGCUCGGAUGGGAGGUCCAAAGGCAGGUCGAUACAUGACGGCCCUCAAGAAAAUACAAACAUGCCUAUGGACCUCCCAUCCGAGGUCGUGGGCUGCCAUGUUGAAAAAGAAAGCCUAGACGGGGCAGCCCAAAACCCAGCUGAUACUUGCUGCCCCAGUGAUAAUAAAUGAUACCUGCCAGCUCCCCGGCUUUGUUGUGAAUUUAUCUCCUAUCAUAACAACGUUGAAGCACCUAAAAAAAUGUAACUAUGUUGACAAACCCGUGGGCCCCAACGUCAGUAUAGCAUUAGGAGGAAGUAUUUUUUCAAUGAGGCACUUGCUUGCGUACAGCCAUAGACCUGGUGGGUCCCGACUGUCCGCCUCUCCACGUACAGUCCUCUACAGAUUCCUCUCGUUUGUUCAGCAAGUUCACAAUGGCAGACAGUGGCGUCCCUCGUUUUCUCUGUUUUUCGCACACUCGACAUUGUGUGGGCAUCUUGAAAAUAGCAUAUCUUUUUGACUGUGCAUCAUAUGAAGAUGUGCUAUGCAUGAAUGUUGAUCAGCAUGAUGUUAACUGGCUGGUAGUUCCAGUUUCGACCAUGAAUAAAACUUCCAGCAUGAUGUUAACACUGUUUGAAAAGGCCGUGUUAAUAUAAAUGCUCUGCCUCUGAAAGUUGCAGUUUCUUAUCUGAAACUGAACUUGGAGUUUCUUAUCUGAAACUGAAACUUGCAGUUUCUUCUCUGAGAAUCACAUUGUCUACACUUUUAUACUCCUAUGAAACUACAUUUUUUUAAGUGCUAAAAAUAGAUCUCUAGAAUUCAUAAAAUACUUCAUAUGCUCAAUACUUCAAAUCUGAAAUUCAAAAGACAUUCAUAUCUGAAAGUAGUCUCAAAAUACACAACACAAAACACAAUUCACAACCUCCAAAUACUAACAACCCUAAGCUCCUCAUGACAAUUCACAACCUGCCUGACUAUUGGUCUGGGGGGGGGCAAUCCCUCCUAUUCCUCGGCGGCAGACAGCCGCCCCGUGAGACAAUGUGAACGGCGAGGGAGAGAAUGGCGGGGAAGCGUCAUCGGGCCAACUGUUUUUCUCCUCUUGCAGUUGGGUUCGGUCGACGAAGACUCCACCGGCUCGCUCUGGCACGACACCCUCACAAACGGCACCCUGUAGAUGCUCGAUCCUUCAAUCUCUAGUGGAUGCUCCAUCUGGGAUCGAUACUCCCACCACCGCUCCCUCACGAUCGGAUUCGGUGAAUCUAUUUGCUCCAUGGCCCAGAGGAGCAGCUCUAUGUACUCCCGCGCGACUCCCUCCGGGAGUAUCGCCGCCUUUUCACUCUGUUGCAGAUAUUUGGCCAUGGAUGUCGCCGUCGCCGCUAGUUGGUCCUUGUUGUCAAACCAAGACUGUAUCUCCAAAAUCCUAGCUAGCUUCACAGGGUCGCCGUCUGCGAUCCUCACGUAUCGGUUGUACUCCUCCAUCGAUCUACUUCUCCACAGCACCUUCACUCGCCGGCGAUGGAUUUUUAACGGAAGAGGAGAGGAGCAGCACUGGUUUUGGUUUAGAACGGGAGAGGAGCGACGCUGGUUUUGGAUUGGAACAGGAGAGGAGGGGCGGUGGUUUUGAAAUGGAAGAGGAGAGGAGCGGCGCUGGAUUUAGAUUGGAACAGGAGAGGAGCGGCGGUGGUUUAAGAGGAGAAGAGUGGAAGUGCGGCACUGGUCUUGGAAGUAUUUUUGUAGUUUUGCGUAUUUUGGGUCAAAGUUUGACCACAUACUGUGACAAGCAAAAUGUGAAUGCAUGUCACCAAAAAUUGUAUCGUUUGGUUCGUAUCUGAAUGUACUUUCAAAUUAUAUUAUUUUUGGGCGAAAAUCAUGGUCAAUUAUGACCCAGAAUAAAAGGGAGACUAGUUAAUGUGGGGUCGCUUUCUUAAUUGAAGGGUAAAUUGAUUUUGAUUUUGAUCCAGUCACAGCGCGCCGGCCCUCUCGUCCAAUCCUAAAUCGCUGCCGCACGCUCCUCUCCCUCUUCUCCAUUGCAAAACCACCUCCUCUCCUCUCCAUCAUGUCCAUUCCAAAACCACCGUCUCGCCUCUCCCUCUUCUCCAUUGCAAAACCAUCUCCUCUCUCCUCGGACGAGGAUCCCCCGACGUAGCCCAUCCUGCCAUUGAGACACUGACACAUGGGUCCCACCAAGCGCGGGGCCCACCUGUCAGUGCUACCUCUUGAGCACUGCGUUGGUUUUCCCUUGAAGAGGAAAGGGUGAUGUAGCAAAGUAGCGUAAGUAUUUCCCUCAGUUUUUGAGAACCAAGGUAUCAAUCAAGUAGGAGGCCACGCACAAGUCCCUCGCACCUACACAAACAAAUAAAUCCUCGCAACCAACGCAACAAAGGGGUUGUCAAUCCCUUCACGGUCACUUACGAGAGUGAGAUCUGAUAGAUAUGAUAAGAUAAUAUUUUGGUAUUUUUAUGAUAAAGAUGCAAAGUAAAGAAAGAAAAAUAAAGACAAUGCUAGAAAUAACUUGUUGACGGGAGAUUAAUAUGAUGCAAACUAUACCCGGGGCCAUAGGUUUCACUAGUGGCUUCUCCCGAGAGCAUAAGUAUUACGGUGGGUGAACAAAUUACUGUUAAGCAAUUGACAGAUCUGAGCAUAGUUAUGAGAAACAUCUAGGUAUGAUCAUGUAUAUAGGCAUCACUUCCGAGACAAGUAGACCGAGUCCUGCCUACAUCUACUACUAUUACUCCACACAUCGACCGCUAUCCAGCAUGCAUCUAGAGUAUUAAGUUCAUAAGAACAGAGUAACGCUUUAAGUAAGAUGACAUGAUGUAGAGGGAUAAACUCAUGCAAUAUGAUAUAAACCACAUCUUGUUAUCCUCGAUGGCAACAAUACAAUACGUGCCUUGCUGCCCCUACUGUCACUAGGAAAGGACACCGCAAGAUUGAACCCAAAGCUAAGCACUUCUCCCAUUGCAAGAAAGAUCAAUCUAGUAGGCCAAACCAAACUGAUAAUUCGAAGAGACUUGCAAAGAUAACCAAUCAUACAUAAAAGAAUUCAGAGAAGAUUCAAAUAUUGUUCAUAGAUAAACUUGAUCAUAAACCCACAAUUCAUCGGUCUCAACAAACACACCACAAAAGAAGAUUACAUCAAAUAGUUCUCCACAUGAGAGGGGGAGAACAUUGUAUUGAGAUCCAAAAAGAGAGAAGAAGCCAUCUAGCUAAUAACUAUGUACCCGAAGGUCUGAGGUAAACUACUCACACAUCAUCGGAGAGGCUAUGGUGUUGAUGUAGAAGCCCUCCGUGAUCGAUGCCCCCUCCGGCGGAGCUCCGGAAAAGGCCCCAAGAUGGGAUCUCACGGGUACAGAAGGUUGCGGCGGUGGAAUUAGGUUUUUGGCUCCGUAUCUGGUAGUUUGGGGUACGUAGGUAUAUAUAGGAGGAAGAAGUACGUCGAUGGAGCAACAUGGGGCCCACGAGGGUGGAGGGCGCGCCCCCUACCUCGUGCCCUCCUGUUUGAUGUCUUGACGUAGGGUCCAAGUCCUCUGGAUCACGUUCGUUCCAAAAAUCACGUUCCCGAAGGUUUCAUUCCGUUUGGACUCCGUUUGAUAUUCUUUUUCUGCGAAACUUUGAAAUAGGCAAAAAACUGCAAUUCUGGGCUAGGCCUCCGGUUAAUAGAUUAGUCCCAAAAAAAUAUAAAAGUGUAUAAUAAAGCCCAUUAAUGUCCAAAACAGAACAUAAUAUAGCAUGGAACAAAAAAAAUUAUAGAUACGUUGGAGACGUAUCAAGCAUCCCCAAGCUUAAUUCCUGCUCGUCCUCGAGUAGGUAAAUGAUAAAAACAGAAUUUUUGAUGUGGAAUGCUACUUGGCAUAAUUUCAAUGUAAUUCUCUUAAUUGUGGUAUGAAUAUUCAGAUCUGAAAGAUUCAAGACAAAAGUUCAAUAUUGACAUAAAAAUAAUACUUCAAGCAUACUAACUAAGCAAUUAUGUCUUCUCAAAAUAACAUGCCAAAGAAAAUUAUCCCUACAAAAUCAUAUAGUCUGGUUUUGCUCUAUCUUCACCACACAAAGUAUUUAAAUCAUGCACAACCCCGAUGACAAGCCAAGCAAUUGUUUCAUACUUUUGAUGUUCUCAAACUUUUUCAAUCUUCACGCAAUACAUGAGCGUGAGCCAUGGAUAUAUCACUAUAUGUGGAAUAGAAUGGUGGUUGUGAAGAAGACAAAAAAGGAGAAGAUAGUCUCACAUCAACUAGGCGUAUCAAUGGGCUGUGGAGAUGCCCAUUAAUAGAUAUCAAUGUGAGUGAGUAGGGAUUGCCAUGCAACGGAUGCACUAGAGCUAUAAGUAUAUGAAAGCUCAACAAAAGGAACUAAGUGGGUGUGCAUCCAACUCGCUUGCUCACGAAGACCUAAGGCAUUUUGAGGAAGCCCAUCAUUGGAAUAUACAAGCCAAGUUCUAUAAUGAAAAUUUCCACUAGUAUAUGAAAGUGAUAUCAUAGGAGUCUCUUUAUCAUGAAGAUCAUGGUGCUACUUUGAAGCACAAGUGUGGUAAAAGGAUAGUAACAUUGUCCCUUCUCUCUUUUUCUCUCAUUUUUUUAUUUUUUUAUUUGGGCCUUUUUUAUGGCCUCUUUUUUUUAGUCCGGAGUCUCAUCCUGACUUGUGGGGGAAUCAUAGUCUCCAUCAUCCUUUCCUCACUUGGGACAAUGCUCUAAAAAAUGAUGAUCAUCACACUUUUAUUUACUUACAACUUAACAAUUACAACUCAAUACUUAGAACAAAAUAUGACUCUAUGUGAAUGCCUCCGGCGGUGUACCGGGAUAUGCAAUGAAUCAAGAGUGACAUGUAUGAAAGAAUUAUGAACGGUGGCUUUGCCACAAAUACGAUGUCAACUACAUGAUCAUGCGAAGCAAUAUGACAAUGAUGGAGCGUGUCAUAGUAAACGGAACGGUGGAAAGUUGCGUGGCAAUAUAUAUCGGAAUGGCUAUGGAAAUUCCAUGAUAGGUAGGUAUGGUGGCUGUUUUGAGGAAGGUAUAUGGUGGGUGUAUGAUACCGGUGAAAAGUGCACAGUAUUAGAAAGGCUAGCAAUGGUGGAAGGAGGGAAGAAAAGUGUGUAUAAUCCAUGGACUCAACAUUAGUCAUAAAGAACUCAUAUACUUAUUGCAAAAAUCUACAAGCUAACAAAGCAAAGUAUUACGCGCAUGCUCCUAGGGGGAUAGAUUGGUAGGAAAAGACCAUCGCUCGUCCCCGACCGCCACUCAUAAGGAAGACAAGCAAUAAAUAAAUCAUGCUCCAACUUCAUCACAUAACGGUUCACCAUACGUGCAUGCCACGGGAAUCACAAACUUUAACACAAGUAUUUCUCAAAUUCACAACUACUCAACUAGCAUGACUCUAAUAUCAUCGUCUCCAUAUCUCAAAACAAUUAUCAAGCAUCUAACUUCUCAUAGUAUUCAACACACUCAUAAGAUUUUUUUUACUAAUCUCGAAUGCAUAUCAUAAUUAAAGCAGAUUACCAUGCUGUUUUGUAGGACUCUCAAAAUAAUCUAAGUGAAGCAUGAGAGAACAAUAGUUUCUAUAAAACAAAACCACCACCGUGCUCUAAAAGAUAUAAGUGAAGCACUAGAGCAAAAACUAUAUAACUCAAAAGAUAUAAGUGAAGCACAUAGAGUAUUCUAACAAAUUCCGAAUCAUGUGUGUCUCUAUCAAAAGGUGUGUACAGCAAGGAUGAUUGUGGAAAACUAACAAACAAAGACUCAAAUCAUACAAGACGCUCCAAGCAAAACACAUAUCAUGUGGUGAAUAAAAAUAUAGCUCCAAGUAAAGUUACCGAUGGAAGUAGACGAAAGAGGGGAUGCCUUCCCGGGCAUCCCCAAGCUUUGGCUUUUUGGUGUCCUUAGAUUAUCUUGGGGUGCCAUGGGCAUCCCCAAGCUUAGGCUCUUGCCACUCCUUGUUCCAUAAUCAAUCAAAUCUUUUAUCCAAAACUUGAAAACUUCACAACAGAAAACUUAACAGAAAAUCUCGUGAGCUCCGUUAGCGAAAGAAAACAAAACACCACUUCAAGGUACUUUAAUGAACUCAUUCUUUAUUUAUAUUGGUGUUAAAUCUACUGUAUUCCAACUUCUCUAUGGUUUAUAAACUAUUUUACUAGCCAUAGAUUCAUCAAAAUAAGCAAACAACACACGAAAAACAGAAUCUGUCAAAAACUGAACAGUCUGUAGUAAUAUGUAACUAACGCAAACAUAUGGAACUCCAAAAAUUCAUCCAAAAUAGGAAGACCUAGACAAUUUCUUUAUUGAUCAGCAUCAAUUGGAAUCAAUAUUGUAUCACAUUCUGGUGAUUUGUAACAAUUAUUUUCGUGAACAGAAAGUUUCUGCAAUUUUCUGCAAGAUCAAAUAACUAUCAUCCAAGAAGAUCCUAUAGGUUAAACUUGGCACAAACACUACUUAAAACAUAAAAAAAA